AAGGUUGUUCCAACAAGUCAGAUACAGUCACGAUAUAACAAUAUUGUUACAACCUGGUUGAUAUUAUCAGACUUGCUGCAUGCAAGGUUGUUCCAACAAAUCUGAUUAUCUGAUACGGUCAUGAUAUAACAAUAUUUAUUACAACCUUGUGUCAUCAAACUUGUAACAUCCUUGUUAUGUCAUGGCUGUAUCAGACUUGUUAGAACAACCUU